rnacentral:sRNA from 1 species
GGCUGUUUCCCGCUCGGAAACUAAGAAAUAAAUGCCUCAUCCCUACUCCAGAAACGAGAACAACGGAGGCAGAGGAGCUGAAGACUCCAGUAUGCAACUGACUACAAGGAGACAGAAGGCUGAGGCCGGGGUGCUAGAGAACCUUGCCGUGCUGGAAUUCACGUUGACGCCCCCACGGAGCUCUGCUGCAGAGCCCUCGAGUCCCGCACUUCCGGCCGCCAGGUGGCGCUGGUUCUGUUGCCAACUCGGAGAGACUGAGCUGGGCCACGCAAGAUGGCGCCGUCCGCCUUGCUGCGUCCUCUCUCCCGGCUGCUGGCCCCCGCCAGGCUCCCGAGCGGCCCUUCAGUGCGAUCAAAGUUCUACGUGCGAGAGCCGCCGAAUGCCAAACCUGACUGGCUGAAAGUUGGGUUCACCUUGGGCACCACUGUCUUCUUGUGGAUCUAUCUCAUCAAACAACACAAUGAAGAUAUUUUAGAGUACAAAAGAAGAAAUGGGCUGGAAUAAACUUUUGAAAUACUAAUGUAGUAUGCUCCGUAUAGUGAUUGUAGCUGUUCCUCUGGAUUCACCAUCUGUUGAGUUGUAAAUGUGAGAGAAAAAGUUAUAUGUGAAUAUAUAUCAAGCCAGCAUUUGUAUUUUGCAUCAUUAAAUAAAAAGAAAUAAAAAU